rnacentral:tRNA from 1 species
UCCCUAGUGGUUCAGACGGUAAAACGUCUGUCUACAAUGUAGGAGGCCCAGGUUCGAUCCCUGGAUCAGGAA